UGUAGUGUCACAGGAUGGGCAGCAGUCAGU
rnacentral:piRNA from 1 species